GUAUGAACGGCUAAAUGAGGGCCCAACUGUCUCCUGUGACCAAUCAAUGAAACUGAUCCCCCAGUACAAAAGCUGGGACACCCCCAUAAGACGAGAAGACCCUGUGGAGCUUAAAACAUCACUACUACCCACAAACCAACCCGCCACGGCACACCCCCCCCCAAAAUAGUAGGCGUUUUUAGUUGGGGCGACUACGGAACCAAACCGAACUUCCAUGUUACAUGCCACCAGCCAACACCAGGUCAACACACCAAUACACCCAUUGACCCAGUAACACUGAUCAACGAACCAAGUUACCCCAGGGAUAACAGCGCCAUCCUCUUCAAGAGCCCAUAUCGCCAAGAGGGUUUACGACCUCGAUGUUGGAUCAGGACCCCCGGGUGGUGCAACNNNNNNNNNNNNNNNNNNNN
rnacentral:rRNA from 1 species